CGGGAGAGCACUCUUGCUGGCCCACGCUUGUGCAGUUCGAGCUGCCGGCUCGUUCAACUGUUCGGGCUUGGCAAGAGUUUGGAGCGCGGGCGCCCUGGCUCCUACACGUGCUUCAGGCACUCCGGCUUGUCGGCGUCCCGCGCUCCGCUCUCACUUGCAA
rnacentral:sRNA from 1 species